GGGGAAUAUUGCACAAUGGGCGAAAGCCUGAUGCAGCAACGCCGCGUGAGUGAUGACGGUCUUCGGAUUGUAAAGCUCUGUCUUCAGGGACGAUAAUGACGGUACCUGAGGAGGAAGCCACGGCUAACUACGUGCCAGCAGCCGCGGUAAUACGUAGGUGGCAAGCGUUGUCCGGAUUUACUGGGCGUAAAGGGAGCGUAGGUGGAUAUUUAAGUGGGAUGUGAAAUACUCGGGCUUAACCUGGGUGCUGCAUUCCAAACUGGAUAUCUAGAGUGCAGGAGAGGAAAGUAGAAUUCCUAGUGUAGCGGUGAAAUGCGUAGAGAUUAGGAAGAAUACCAGUGGCGAAGGCGACUUUCUGGACUGUAACUGACGCUGAGGCAUGAAAGCGUGGGGAGCAAAC
rnacentral:rRNA from 1 species